rnacentral:rRNA from 1 species
CAGCAGCCGCGGUAAUACGAAGGGUGCAAGCGUUACUCGGAAUUACUGGGCGUAAAGCGUGCGUAGGUGGUGGUUUAAGUCCGUUGUGAAAGCCCUGGGCUCAACCUGGGAAUUGCAGUGGAUACUGGGUCACUAGAGUGUGGUAGAGGAUAGUGGAAUUUCCGGUGUAGCAGUGAAAUGCGUAGAGAUCGGAAGGAACACCAACGGCGAAAGCACUCUGCUGGGCCGACACUGACACUGAGAGACGAAAGCUAGGGGAGCAAAUGGGAUUAGAUACCCGGGUAGUCCCUGUCUCUUAUAC